AAGUGAGGACGACCUCACCGCUCUAUCUUUUCUCGGGGACGACCCCA
rfam:Vibrio parahaemolyticus RIMD 2210633 DNA, chromosome 2, complete sequence.